AUUAAUGGCCAUGACACGUUAAAAACACCGGCUCUCGUCUGAUCACCGAAGUUCAGCAACGGCGAGCCUAGUUAGUACUUAGAUGGGUGGCCGUUUGGGAAAACUAAGUACAGUAAGCC
rnacentral:rRNA from 1 species